GGCCUCCCCAGCCAUAAGGAACUUUGUAAAUGUGGCUGCUACAUGAAUUAGUAGUGAACCUGACUGGGUCAUGCUUCAGCUUUGAAGGAAGAGCAAUGGCUUAGGAAUGAAUCACAGCGAUUAACCGUGAGUCGGUGUCUUCUUAAGCACGUAUCCAAUUGAGAACACCACAUACACCUAGUCAUCAUGUCUCUUCAGUCAGAGGACACAGCAUUUAAUGUUGAAUGGUAAUAAUGGCAAAGAUGUGGAAGACUCAUACAAGGUUGUUGCGGGUGGAAGAGAAAGCAUAUUAAUCAACUUCUUAAAAUUUCAUAGCUAAAAAAGAAUUUCUGAGUCUUUCCAAGAGGAAACAAUGUUGGAAGAACCCCAGGAGUCUGUCUUCCCAAUUGCCCUGUUUUCUACUUCUCCUAAGGAUGAGAUGAGGUAAUGCUGAUGCUGCUGAUCUGGGGGCAAUACUUUAAGAACCACUGGACUGUAACAAUGUCAAACCUGCCUGAUGAGAAGAAUCACCUGGAAGGUUUAAAAAAAUGCAAAAUCCUCGGCCCCAUGCCAGACUUUCUGACUCAACCUCCAGGGAAGAGCCUAAAAUUUUCUAUUUCAACAAUCCUGCCUGAUUAAUAUGAUUAGCAAGAAUUUGUUUGUACCAGCUCUAUGCCAUACACCGUGAUAGACACACCAGACGUGGAAGUGAGAAAUAUGGUUCCCAUCUUGGAUAGCAAAGAAGAUGGACAAAUAAACCAACAAAUUAAACACAGAAAAACGUUUUCUAAAGGAAGGAGGUUUCUUGAAGGAAGUGGUACUUCUGUUGAAAUAUGAAAGAUGAGUGAGGGUUAGUCACAUACAGAAAGGGAGAAGGGAGUAUCCAAUGUAGAUAGAACAGCAUAUGAAAAGCACAGAGAUGUGAGAGAGCAGGUAGGCAUUGCUGUAAAUCCAGGUGGAUGUAAAAAAAAUCAGAGCCUUGCAGGAACUAGGUUGUAGAAAGCUCUGUGGACUAAGUUUAGUUGGUUUAACUUUAUCCUAAAAGUCACAGGAAAAUAUUAAAGAUGUUUAAAAAAGAAAAAAAAGCAGAUUUUCAUUUUAUUAACAAAACAUAACUCUGGCAGCAGGUGUGGAAAAUGGAUGGAGGGGCCAGGACCAGAAGAAAGACACCUGUUACUGAAGCAAUGCAGAUGGGAAAUGAUGGAGACCUAGAUGUAGACCAUGCCAGCAAAGACGGAGGGGCAGAAUUGAGUAAUACUUGUAGAACUAAUGUAACUUACAGGAUGAUUAGAUACAUAGAAAGGAGACUAACUCAAUCCUUUAUUUUUCUUCCUUUUUCAAAAGUUUUUUUAAGACUAUAUUACUAUCUUUUCCCCAUUCCCUCCAUACUUAAUAUGACAGUUAGCUAAUUUUACUUGAAUACCUAUGUCUUAUUCUUUACCAACACCAUCAAGCAGCAGCAUCUCCCUACCACCACCACAACAAGCAGCAAGUGUUUAUGGAGCACCUCUUAAUAAAUUAUCCUUUGUCUUGUUUUGUGACAAAUUUACAUUCCUCUCUGCUUUACUUUUGCUUUAUCCUGUAUUUUUCAUUGUUCUGUGGUUUAGCGUGUAUUUUCUUCUGCUCUUCCAGGACCAUAGGAUUUCAGAGCUUGUUACUUAAGUUCUCAGGUUUUUGAUAUGUACUUGGAAUUUUAUUUUUUACUACUUUCUCAAAGUAAUGCUCCACAAAUAUUUCUUAUGUAAUUCCAAUGCAUCUAAAGAGAUUUAGCAUUUGAGUUUUAUGUUAAACCAAUAAACUGAUUAAAGCCAUAAUUAGCAAUCACCAACUUUUAUCUGGAAAUAAACUGAAAACUAUUAUUCACUUACUAAGGCUCUGGUGUACUUAUUUCUGUAAAGAGAACACUAUACUUUGCUCAAAGAAGUAAUACAAUUUAUAUUUUCUCCUGUUCUCAUGUGUGCAAAUUAUGUUCAUUUUAUUGUACAGGCUAUAUAUCUUCUGCAAUACCUUCAUCUGCCUGUAGGUGUAAAGUUAAAAUUCAGCUCUUCUG
rnacentral:lncRNA from 1 species